AAGCAGGGGAUCGUAAGGCCUUGCGCUUUUGGAGCGGCCGAUGUCUGAUUAGCUAGUUGGUGGGGUAAGGGCCUACCAAGGCGACGAUCAGUAGUUGGUCUGAGAGGACGACCAGCCACACUGGGACUGAGACACGGCCCAGACUCCUACGGGAGGCAGCAGUGGGGAAUUUUGGACAAUGGGCGAAAGCCUGAUCCAGCAAUGCCGCGUGAGUGAAGAAGGCCUUCGGGUUGUAAAGCUCUUUCAGUCGAGAAGAAAAGGCUACGGUAAAUAAUCGUAGUUCAUGACGGUACCGACAGAAGAAGCACCGGCUAACUACGUGCCAGCAGCCGCGGUAAUACGUAGGGUGCGAGCGUUAAUCGGAAUUACUGGGCGUAAAGGGUGCGCAGGCGGCUUUGUAAGUCAGAUGUGAAAUCCCCGGGCUUAACCUGGGAAUUGCGUUUGAAACUACAAAGCUAGA
rnacentral:rRNA from 1 species